rnacentral:lncRNA from 1 species
CUCAACUCCGCGCUACCGUAAUCCGCCUAAAGCUGGCGCAGCACGUCCACUGCCGGGCCGCGGGGAGACCACGUGGACCGAACUUCAGGGGAGAACAGACCGGCACGUGGGACGGGCCGUGGGGCUACGGAUCUGAAAGGGGCUUUGCAGAGAGACCUCAGAGGGUGUCCGGCCUCGGAGCGGUUCCAGGGAACGCUGUGCCAACCCCACCUUCCUGUGGAGCCCUGAGGCAGCAUCCCAUGGAGUCUCCCCGAAUGCAGAGCAGCUGCCUCAGUCCCAACACAAGGACUUUAAGCUCUGUCUGCCCAGCAAGCAGAAGAGCAUGCAGCGUGAACCCAGGGUCAUUCCGGACUCCCGACGCCGCCAGUCCCUUGGUGAGACAGCAGCACCACUGGCGUCCGUGGCCUCUGUUUCCGUGGCAACCCAGUAACCAUUAAUUUUCAAUUAAAGGAGACAAAAAGCUCAAUGACAGCUCCAGGUCCGCUGAAGAUGUCAAGAAUGUGUAUUAAUAUACAGCACGAGAGCAUAAUUGUGUGUCCAUCUUCCAGAGCAGCGAAAAAUGGAGGGAUAAUUACCAGCUCGAAAGCCACUCUGUAAUUUAGUUCUUACUGUCACCACAACCCUGCACAUUAGCAUAAAUUAAAAGCGGAGUUUAUUGUUAUCAAAGUGCAUCGAUACCGCCAGACCCGCUUUCUUGCUUUUAACUGUUUGUUGUGGGCAAGUGACUCCCCGACUCUCACCAGGGCCUCCCCAGGAUGGGCACAG